rnacentral:lncRNA from 1 species
UCUGGACUCCAAAGGGGAAGGUGCCAUUCAUUUCAGUUCCGAUACUUACGGUCGCGUUUCCUGGAUUUCUCUUGAUUAUUGAGAAUUAGCUGGAUAUGACGUCAGACAUUUUCAGAAGGAAAGAGCUGACAUGAAAUAUAUUCUAAGGGAACCUCGAAGAACAUAGUGGUAUUGACAUUAAAUUUUAAAAAGUUUGUUUUUUUGUGAAUGAAGUUAGAACACAAAGGGGAAUUAUGACAUUUCUGGAGAAAAGCAAAGGUGGGUAACAACUACGUAGAAAAUCAUUAAAGGAGAAGGUAACAGUAAAGAAAUAAAAGAAGAAAACAUAGCAGAAGACGUUAAAGAAGACGACGAAGAGGGAAGAAAAUAAGAAGCCGAAAAGGAAAUAGAGGAAAGAGGAAAAAAUAAAGCAAGUGUUGGGCAGGAAAAUGAGGAAAAAUGUUUCUUUCCGCAUUCCAUCGCAAGAUUAUUACUUACCAGAAGAGAUCAACUUCUGGACGAUGGCUAUUGUGGCUGUGGGCACGGGGUUCAUCAUCACUGUGGCUUUAUCCAUUUACCUUAUUUCGCAGACGAGGCUGGAGAGACCCCAGCCAAUCAGACGUCAGCGAAUCAAUCAUUUUCCAGACAUGUUUCACAAUUUGGAGGAUCUGUACAGCCACUCACCCUACACCCCGGUUCAUCGGCUGGAACGGGAAUAGAGACACCGUGGGAAUGGCGUUUUUUUGCCGUAGAGUUUUUUAAUUCUUUAAGGAUAAGGAUUAAGGAUAUUUUGUUCUGGUGGAAUUGUGGGUUUUGUUGAUUUUUUUUCGUUUUUUUUUAUGUAUUUUUUCUCUUUCUUUU